GGAGCGCGACGCUCUCCCCAAGGACGAAGCCAUGCAUGCCCGCUCACCCGGGACGCGGCGGACGGCUCAGGACGACGGUUGCACCCCCCGCGGCGGUCCCUGCUAGCCGGACACCGCUGGCAACCCGGCGCCAAGACGUGCGCGCAAGGGCGGGCCCCCGCGGG
rnacentral:rRNA from 1 species